GUUGAACGCUGGCGGCAGGCCUAACACAUGCAAGUCGAACGAGUGGCGGACGGGUGAGUAAUGUUUGGGAAUCAAGCUUAAGGCGGGGGAUAACUCCGGGAAACUGUAGUUAAUACCGCGUACCAUAGGCUGAGCCAAAGUGGGACUGGGUAGUUGGUGAGGUAAAGGAUCACCAAGCCGAAGAUCCCCAGCUGGUCUGAGAGGAUGACCGGCCACACUGGAACUGAGACACGGCCCAGACUCCUACGGGAGGCAGCAGUGGGGAAUAUUGCGCAAUGGGGGCAACCUGACGCAGCCAUGCCGCGUGAAUGAAGAAGGCCUUCGGGUUGUAAAGUUCUUUCAGUAGCGAGGCGUUAACUACAGAGGAAGCACCGGCUAACUCCGUGCCAGCAGCCGCGGUAAUAC
rnacentral:rRNA from 1 species